UCAGUGAGUAGCUCAAGAUCUAUAUUGGCCAAAGAUGAAACACUCCAUCAAAUAAUAUGUGGACCAAUGUCACACAUGUCAAGUCAAUAAAAUAUCUCUAUUAUUGUUAGCUAGAUUCCUACAACCCUUACCCAUGUCGGAUAAAAUAUGAGAAGAAAUUUCUCUUGAUUCAUUGAAGGUCUCUCAAUCGCCUAUGGCUUCAACUACUAUUGGUGGUCAUUGAUAAACUAAGUUCGUCCAGCC
rnacentral:lncRNA from 1 species